rnacentral:rRNA from 1 species
CUAACAAGGAUUCCCUUAGUAACGGCGAGUGAAGUGGGAAGAGCUCAAAUUUUAAAUCACCUGGGUUCCCUUGGUGAAUUGUAAUUUAAAGAAAGUGUUUUGACGUUCGGGUUCGAUCUAAAUCCUUUGGGAUAAGGUAUCAUAGAGGGUGAGAAUCCCGUUCUUGAUUGAUCCUUUGAUUGUCUAUAAUUCACUUUCCAAGAGUCGAGUUGUUUGGGAUUGCAGCUCAAAAUGGGUGGUAAAUUUCACCUAAGGCUAAAUAUGUGCAAGAGACCGAUAGCGAACAAGUACCGUGAGGGAAAGAUGAAAAGAACUUUGAAAAGAGAGUUAAAUAGUACGUGAAAUUGUUGAAAGGGAAACGAUUAAAGUCAGUCAUGUUGGUAGGGAAUCAACCUGAUGGUAUGCGAGUUUCUCGUGUCCUUUCUGGUGCACUUCCUUACUUGCAGGUUAGCAUCAAUUUUGGUUAUUAUAUAAAAAUUAAGGGAAGGUGACUUUUCUUCGGAAAAGUGUUAUAGACCUUAAUAAAUGUAGUGACCGGGAUUGAGGUUUGCAGCGGAUACCCUUUUGGGCUAGUCACCUGGCUUCUGAUGGGUACCUCGUCUUCGAUAGCAUGCUAACGUUGAUGGGAUUCGAUCGUCUAGAUGUUGGAGUGAUCAUAAAUUCGCUAAGGAUGU